AGAGUUUGAUUCUGGCUCAGAACGAACGCUGGCGGCAGGCUAACACAUGCAAGUUGAACGGGAUUUGCUUGGUGCUUGCACUGAGCGAUGAGAGUAGCGCACUGGUGAGUAACACGUGGGAACAUGCCUUUUGUGGGGGACAACAGAGGGAAACUUCUGCUAAUACCGCAUAAGCCCUAAGGGGGAAAGAUUUAUUGCCGAAAGAUUGGCCCGCGGAAGAUUAGGUAGUUGGUGGGGUAAAGGCCUACCAAGCCGACGAUCUAUAGCUGGUCUGAGAGGACGAACAGCCACAUUGGAACUGAGACACGGUCCAGACUCCUACGGGAGGCAGCAGUGAGGAAUAUUGGGCAAUGGAGGAAACUCUGACCCAGCCAUGCCGCGUGAGUGAAGAAGGUUUUCGAAUUGUAAAGCUCUUUCGGAUACGAGGAUGAUGACGGUAGUAUCUAAAGAAGCCCCGGCAAACUUCGUGCCAGCCGCGGC
rnacentral:rRNA from 1 species